GAUGAACGCUGGCGGCGUGCCUAAUACAUGCAAGUCGAGCGAACAGAUGCUGAGCUUGCUCCUCUGUCGUUAGCGGCGGACGGGUGUGAAACACGUGUAUAACCUACCUAUAUUUCUGGGAUAACUUCGGGACACCGGAGCUAAUACCGUAUAAUAUAUUGAACCGCAUGGUUGAAUAGUGAAAGACGGUUUUGCUGUCUCUUCUAGAUGGAUACCGGCCGCAUUAGCUAGUUGUUAAGGUCACGGCCUUCCAAGGCAACGAUGCGUAGCCGAACUGAGAGGGUGAUAGGCCACACUAGAGCGGGACCGCGGUCCAGACUCCUACGGGAGGCAGCAGAAGGGAACGUGCGGCAAUGGGCGGAAGCCUGACAGAGCAACGCCGCGUGAGUGACGAAGGUCUUCGGAUCGUAAAACUCUGUUAUGAGGGAAGAACAAAUGUGGAAGGAAAUAUGCACGGCUUGACGGUACCUAAUCAGAAAGCAACGGCUAACUACGUG
rnacentral:rRNA from 1 species